UAAAGGGGACCUGAGCCUUCAUCCCAUUGGAUGGAAACCAAGAUGCCCGCUGUGUGACCCACAUAGAGGGAAUGAGGACCUUUCCAGACUGCCUGAGAAAACCGAAACGUGGCCACCGAAAACACCAGUUUCCGAGUAUGGCUGGCAACAUCAAAGAAAGACCCAGAACAUUUAGCUUUUGAAGCAGAGCAGGCAGAAGAGAAGCCUAGUAAACACACCUUGAUGCCUGGACACGAGAUCCCGCUACUAAGUUAUGUGACCAGCGUUCUCCAGUUCGGUGCUUUGUUCGAGUUUCACAUUCGAGCAGGGAAUUCUGCAGCAGGCCACGUGAACAAGAAGACGUGUUCAAAUGA